rnacentral:rRNA from 1 species
UACGGAGGGUGCAAGCGUUGUUCGGAAUCACUGGGCGUAAAGGGCGUGUAGGCGGUCCGCUAAGUCUGAUGUGAAAGCCCGAGGCUUACCCUCGGAAGUGCAUUGGAGACUGGCGGACUGGAGUCCCGGAGAGGAGGGUGGAAUUCCUGGUGUAGCGGUGAAAUGCGUAGAUAUCAGGAGGAACACCGGUGGCGAAGGCGGCCCUCUGGGACGGUACUGACGCUGAGACGCGAAAGCGUGGGGAGCGAACAGG